rnacentral:rRNA from 1 species
CUGGAGAAUUGAGGGGGGCUGCUCCUAGUACGAGAGGACCGGAGUGGACGCAUCACUGGUGUUCGGGUUGUCAUGCCAAUGGCACUGCCCGGUAGCUAAAUGCGGAAGAGAUAAGUGCUGAAAGCAUCUAAGCACGAAACUUGCCCCGAGAUGAGUUCUCCCUGACUCCUUGAGAGUCCUGAAGGAACGUUGAAGACGACGACGUUGAUAGGCCGGGUGUGUAAGCGCAGCGAUGCGUUGAGCUAACCGGUACUAAUGAACCGUGAGGCUUAACCUUACAACGCCGAAGCUGUU